GCCUUCGUGGUGUAGUGGUCAGCACGCUCGACGCGUAACCGAGAGGUCCGUGGUUCGAUUCCUGGCGCAGGCG
rnacentral:tRNA from 1 species